rnacentral:rRNA from 1 species
AGUCGAGCGAACAGAUAAGGAGCUUGCUCCUUUGACGUUAGCGGCGGMCSGGUGAGUAACACGUGGAUAACCUACCUAUAAGACUGGGAUAACUUCGGGAAACCGGAGCUAAUACCGGAUAACAUAUUGAACCGCAUGGUUCAAUAGUGAAAGGCGGCUUUGCUGUCACUUAUAGAUGGAUCCGCGCCGUAUUAGCUAGUUGGUAAGGUAACGGCUUACCAAGGCAACGAUACGUAGCCGACCUGAGAGGGUGAUCGGCCACACUGGAACUGAGACACGGUCCAGACUCCUACGGGAGGCAGCAGUAGGGAAUCUUCCGCAAUGGGCGAAAGCCUGACGGAGCAACGCCGCGUGAGUGAUGAAGGUCUUCGGAUCGUAAAACUCUGUUAUCAGGGAAGAACAAAUGUGUAAGUAACUGUGCACAUCUUGACGGUACCUGAUCAGAAAGCCACGGCUAACUACGUGCCAGCAGCCGCGGUAAUACGUAGGUGGCAAGCGUUAUCCGGAAUUAUUGGGCGUAAAGCGCGCGUAGGCGGUUUUUUAAGUCUGAUGUGAAAGCCCACGGCUCAACCGUGGAGGGUCAUUGGAAACUGGAAAACUUGAGUGCAGAAGAGGAAAGUGGAAUUCCAUGUGUAGCGGUGAAAUGCGCAGAGAUAUGGAGGAACACCAGUGGCGAAGGCGACUUUCUGGUCUGUAACUGACGCUGAUGUGCGAAAGCGUGGGGAUCAAACAGGAUUAGAUACCCUGGUAGUCCACGCCGUAAACGAUGAGUGCUAAGU